rnacentral:rRNA from 1 species
UACGUAGGCAGCGAGCGUUGUUCGGAAUUACUGGGCGUAAAGAGUGUGUAGGCGGUGCUCUAAGUUCGGUGUGAAAUCUCCAGGCUCAACCUGGAGGGGUCAUUCGAUACUGCCGUGACUAGAGUUCGGUAGGGGAGUGUGGAAUUCCUGGUGGAGCGGUGAAAUGCGCAGAUAUCAGGAGGAACACCCGUAGCGAAGGCGGCACUCUGGGCCGAUACUGACACUGAGGAGCGAAAGCGUGGGGAGCGAACAGG